UUAACUAUUGUAUAGUACUCAGACGGCAAAAAUAACAGAGAGUUUUGAAUCCUCUGGCAGACGCUGACCAGCCGGAGCCGGCGGCCCGAGGGCGGGCCUGCCAAAGCAACAAAGGUAGUGUAAACACAGGGUGGGAGAUCUACCCCGAAGGGCACGUUCUCAUUAAUGAUCCUUCCGCAGGUUCACCUACGGAAA
rnacentral:misc_RNA from 1 species